GGACCCGCACAAGCGGUGGAGCAUGUGGUUUAAUUCGAAGCAACGCGAAGAACCUUACCAAAUCUUGACAUCCUUUGACAACUCUAGAGAUAGAGCUUUCCCCUUCGGGGGACAAAGUGACAGGUGGUGCAUGGUUGUCGUCAGCUCGUGUCGUGAGAUGUUGGGUUAAGUCCCGCAACGAGCGCAACCCUUAUCUUUAGUUGCCAUCAUUAGGUUGGGCACUCUAGAGAGACUGCCGGUGACAAACCGGAGGAAGGUGGGG
rnacentral:rRNA from 1 species